rnacentral:rRNA from 1 species
AAGCUAUAUAGAGUUUAACCUGCCCACUGAAAGUUUUAAAGGGCCGCGGUAUUUUGACCGUGCGAAGGUAGCAUAAUCAAUAGUCUUUUAAUUGAAGACUUGAAUGAAAGGUUGGACGAGAAAUAUACUGUUUCUUAAAUAAGAGUUGAAUUUAACUUUUAAGUGAAAAGGCUUAAAUAUUACAAGAAGACGAUAAGACCCUAUAAAUCUUUAUAUUAGUUUAAUUUUUUGAAAAGUUUAUAGGUUAAUUCGAUUAAAUUUAAAUAAUAUUUUAUUGGGGCGGUAUGAAUAGAUAGCUAUCUAUUUAACGAUUUUACAGAAUAUAUUUGAAUAAAAUUUUUAGAUCCUUCUUAAGGAUUUACAGAUCAAGUUACUUUAGGGAUAACAGCGUUAUUUUAUUUGAGAGUUCAUAUUGAAAAUAAAGUUUGCGACCUCGAUGUUGAAUUAAAAUUUCUUUGUGGUGCAGCAGCUAUAAAAGAAAGUCUGUUCGAC